rnacentral:lncRNA from 1 species
CACGUUUCAUUUUUGUACUUUCACCGACCUCCCGGGUUUCGGUAAAAAUCAAAGUGGGAAGAUGCAUCUAAGAGACCAAGCAGAACCCCUCAGCUAAGCCCUGCAAGGAGGGCUGACCUACCUUUGUCACCUGUCAGAUGACAAAGUCCUGGUACUUUUCCUUUCUUGGUCUCCCAGAUCUGAAGGCGCACGUUGGGGUGACUUCUUUCUAAGCGGUCCCUGACCUAGCAAACUGGCAGCGCCCCUCUCUCGGUUGUCGGGGAACUGGGCCAGGAGUAUAGACCCUCUCCCAAUGUCUCUCCCACCUGGAGACAGAGCAAACCCCUGCGCUCAGAGACCAAGCUCUUUCCUGACCAGGAAUGUCUCUGCCGUAUUCCAGCAGAAGUUUGAAAGACGGGGGUUGCCUAGUCCUUGCGCUUGGCUGUGGAUAAACACUCACAUCUCACUUGUAAGAACUGGGCUCCAUCCCAGUCUGUGGACACGGCCCUGCCCUUUGGAUGACCCCCAUCCCUGGCAAGAGAAGAUACAUAUGAUGGCAGCACGCCCUGGGCCUCUCUGCACUGUCCUGAAGGUGGACAGUAGAGAAACAAGAAAAUGGACUCCCUUUUCCUGGAGACCUGACUGAAUGCCAGCCACCGGGAGGCCAUCCCAUGGAGAACCAACUCAUUCCAAGCAGCUGUUUCUCGAGUCAGAAGAGAUGGUGGACCUCAACCAGGCAACCCAGAUGACAGCAUGCAAUUACCUACCUAAACAUUCAGAGGACCACAUUUGACUACUUGGUUCUUUGGGGGCAGGGAUCUAGAAGCUCAAGGUUUUGCAUUUAGGUCUAGAAGACUCUCUUUGCAAAAACCCUUCCAAGUGAAUCUCAUUGGGCAGUAAAUUUAUAAAUGAGCUGUUAUCACAUCCCAAUAAAUACACAAUUUGACUUUAAGAUAAUCCUGUU